rnacentral:rRNA from 1 species
AUACGGAGGGUGCAAGCGUUACUCGGAAUCACUGGGCGUAGAGCGCGCGCAGGCGGCUAUUUAAGUUGGAUGUGAAAGCCUACGGCUCAACCGUAGAACUGCAUCCAAAACUAUUUAGCUAGAGUGUGGGAGAGGAAGAUGGAAUUAGUUGUGUAGGGGUAAAAUCCGUAGAGAUAACUAGGAAUACCAAAAGCGAAGGCAAUCUUCUGGAACACUACUGACGCUGAGGCGCGAAAGCGUGGGGAGCAAACGGGAUUAGAAACCCUUGUAGUCC